GGAGGUGGCAAGCGUUGUUCGGAUUUAUUGGGUGUAAAGGGCAUGUAGGUGUCCUAGCAAGUUCUGAUUGAAAUCCUUCGGCUCAACCGAAGAACGUGUCAGAAUACUGCUGGGAUUGAGUGCGGAAGGGGAGAACGGAAUUCCCGGUGUAAGGGUGAAAUCUGUAGAUAUCGGGAGGAACACCAGUGGCGAAGGCGGUUCUCUGGUCCGCAACUGACACUGAAAUGCGAAAGCUAGGGGAGCAAACAGGAUUAGAUACCCUGGUAGUCCUAGCCGUAAACGAUGGGCACUAGGUGUAGGCCCCGCAAGGGUCUGUGCCGCAGUUAACACAUUAAGUGCCCCACCUGGGGACUACGGCCGCAAGGUUG
rnacentral:rRNA from 1 species